GGCUAAUGCUCAAUGGCAUGUCCAAAGAAAAACCAUAAAAUAUUUCCCUAUGCGUAAAAUUUUUCUUUAAUGAAAUAGGCAUGUACCAAGAUUCAAGUGUUCUUCGGAGUCUUUGUGUCAACAAAAAUAGCAAGACUAGAAUACUCCAAUUCACUUUGGGCUAUGGAUAAUAGCUUAUUGACGAUGAAAAAACUACUCUAAGCUCAAAG
rnacentral:misc_RNA from 1 species